rnacentral:lncRNA from 1 species
CAAUUUUACUCUAGAAAAAAAAAGAGAGACUUGACCUAUAUUUAUUGAAAACAAAUGCUCUUUUUCUAAAAAAUGUAUUUUAAAUAAUUUACAUCCAUUCCCUGUUUGUAAACAGCAGGAUUACUUGUUGGCUAGUGCUUUUCUUAAUAUUGCUUUUUCACACCUUUUGCCAGGGCUCCCAGAAAAUGUUUAAAAACAAUUUUCUUGAUAUUUAGUGUGACUGUAUGUAUUUCUAGUGAUCUUCCCCCUCUAUUAGUUUCUUUUUAAACUCAGACAUGUUAAUUAUCAGAGAAGCUUUAAGAGUCAAAAAAAUAAAGAAUACAGAGAUUUCUCUUCUAAAGCAGGGAUUUACAUUAAACUUAUUUCAGGUUGCAAGUAAAUCAGAUUUUAUUUAUGAUGUUUAAGGAUAGCAAUAUUCAUGUAGUUAGCUUG